rnacentral:rRNA from 1 species
UACGUAGGGGGCAAGCGUUGUCCGGAAUCAUUGGGCGUAAAGAGCGUGUAGGCGGUCCGGUAAGUCCGCUGUGAAAGUCCAGGGCUCAACCCUGGAAUGCCGGUGGAUACUGCCGGGCUAGAGUCCGGAAGAGGCGAGUGGAAUUCCUGGUGUAGCGGUGAAAUGCGCGUGAUAUCAGGAGGAACACCGAUGGCGAAGGCAGCUCGCUGGGACGGUGACUGACGCUGAGACGCGAAAGCGUGGGGAGCAAACAGG